rnacentral:lncRNA from 1 species
CCUCAGUAUUAAACGGGGCUAGUUACGGCCCUGUUGACAAUCUACUAUAUCUUUGGUAAGAGGACGAAGAAGACCAACCUAUAUGCUGCAUGACGUCACUUGUAGACCCCCCUGACAAAGCUAAAGUAAUAGCACAAGCUCCCCGAAUUCCAUGAGGGGUCUCACCGUCGUAAAUAUCGAGUUUCUUUAAAUAUUUCCUCAAGCGAUCAUACAUAGCAUUCGAAGAUACAGGAUUGUCAGUAACAUCUUUUCGAUUUUUACUCAAAGUACGGAAUAAAUAACCAAACCGUAAAUCAACUCCAAGUGCCCUGGCACCUUCAACAUACCUUUCCAGUGCUUUAACUGGACAAAUUAAAG